rnacentral:rRNA from 1 species
CCUACGGGAGGCAGCAGUGAGGAAUAUUGGUCAAUGGACGCAAGUCUGAACCAGCCAUGCCGCGUGCAGGAAGACGGCUCUAUGAGUUGUACACUUCUUUUGUACGAGGGUAAACGCAGAUACGCGUAUCUGUCUGAAAGUAACUUACGAAUAAGGAUCGGCUAACUCCGUGCCAGCAGCCGCGGUAAGACGGAGGAUUCAAGCGUUAUCCGGAUUUAUUGGGUUUCAAGGGUGCGUAGGCGGUCGGAUAAGUUAGAGGUGAAAGUCCGAGGCUCAACCUCGGAAUUGCCUUUGAUACUGUUCGGCUAGAGAGUAGUAGCGGUAGGCGGAAUGUAUGGUGUAGCGGUGAAAUGCUUAGAGAUCAUGCAGAACGCCGAUUGCGAAGGCAGCUUACCAAGCUACUACUGACGUUGAGGCACGAAAGCGUGGGGAGCAAACAGGAUUAGAUACCCGGGUAGUC